GCAGGCAAGAGCACAGCAUGACCCCUGCUGAUUGCUGUAUCCUACAGUUACAUCCCACUGCAUUCCUUGUACUACUCUGAUGAUGCCUGCAAGAUAUCCAUGCCAGGAGUGUUAUUAAAGAGAGAUUUCUCAUGAAGCCAGAGCCAGAAGAAAGAGAAAACCCAGGAAUUAUGAAUGUGAAACAGUUCCACUUAUCAGGAAUGACCCUUUUUGGAGAUGUAGGUUCUGAG